rnacentral:rRNA from 1 species
UUGAACGCUGGCGGCAGGCCUAACACAUGCAAGUCGAGCGGAUGAAGGGAGCUUGCUCCUGGAUUCAGCGGCGGACGGGUGAGUAAUGCCUAGGAAUCUGCCUGGUAGUGGGGGAUAACGUCUGGAAACGGGCGCUAAUACCGCAUACGUCCUGAGGGAGAAAGUGGGGAAUCUUCGGACCUCACGCUAUCAGAUGAGCCUAGGUCGGAUUAGCUAGUUGGUGGGGUAAAGGCCUACCAAGGCGACGAUCCGUAACUGGUCUGAGAGGAUGAUCAGUCACACUGGAACUGAGACACGGUCCAGACUCCUACGGGAGGCAGCAGUGGGGAAUAUUGGACAAUGGGCGAAAGCCUGAUCCAGCCAUGCCGCGUGUGUGAAGAAGGUCUUCGGAUUGUAAAGCACUUUAAGUUGGGAGGAAGGGCAGUAAGUUAAUACCUUGCUGUUUUGACGUUACCAACAGAAUAAGCACCGGCUAACUUCGUG